UAAUUUAUAUAAUUAAAGAACUUAAAGUGGCAGUCAACUGCGUUCUGCUCAUGCGCGUGUUUUGUUCGCAUAUUUUGUUUCCAAAAAUAGAUAAUUCAAUUAAAAUUUGGAUCCAUUUUCCCACUCAUUAGGUCAUUUCUCAUUCAGAAUACAUCACGAAUUAAGGUAAAAUUUAGCUCCAAAACUACAACUUUCAAUGGAAAACUUUUAAAUAUAAAUCUUGAAGGAUUGGUACAUAUUUUGUCUAUAGUUCAAGUAGUUUCGGGCGGAAUGAGCGGAGAAAAUGACAAGAUGUUUUAAGACCAAAAAUCACAUGCUUUACUUUAGUCUGGUUGAGUACUUUAAGACGAUCAUGCUUGUAAAAUAGAAAAUAUAAAGUCUAUUCUGUACUUGACCAAAAUAUACAUAAGUUCAUUAAAAUAUAGCUGCAACUAAUUGUUAAAUGAAGACAAAUUAGGUGUAUGUGUGCAGACCUUAACUAAGACUAUACGCC